rnacentral:lncRNA from 1 species
CCCAGGUUCAAGUGAUUCUCCUGAUCUCAGCCAAGAUCGUACCAUUGCACUCCAGCUUGGGCAACAAGAGUGACAUUCCAUCUCAAAAAAAAAAGAAAGAAAAGAAAAGAAAUAUGAGAACUCUUUGUCCACCUAAAACCAGCAUGACACAGAGAUAAAUAUUUCCUGUUUGGCAACUGACUGAGACUUCUGAUUGCAAAACAAUCCCACAUGUAAGUCCUCCACCUGUAACUUGUAUACUCCUCUCUAUAAAAGUCUAAGGCAAAACCACCCUGCCAAGAGACUCUGAUCUUUGGAUUUGGAGUGCUUUUCCUAUUGUAAUAGCCUGAAUAGAUCAAUUCCCUUACUUGUUUAGGUUUUGUAUUUGACUAUAGCACCCACCAAAAAGCUGGAAAUUUUAAACUAAAGCAAAAAACAGCACACCUCGAGAAAGACGGGUCACAGAGUUGCAAGGAAAAGGAAGGUCUAGUUGCCUCAAAGCUGAUCCCCUAGGUCAUAUACAGUCAUUAAAUCCGCAUCUGGGGCAGACUGGGGUGCCAGCCUGACUAAGCCAUUAUCCAUUCAGCUUCAGGGGAGGGGACACUGUGAGGAAGCUCAAUACAUGAUUUCUGAAUUGAAUGAAACAAAAUCUAUUAAUUUGCCUUGGUGCUAAUUAGGGAGAAGUUUAAGGUUGAUAAAGGAAAAAAAGCAGCCCCUGAUAAAAAGCUGGCCUGGCACCCACAGCUAUACCAGUUAGUCUUCUGUUGGACAUAAUCACUUUCCUAGCCUUCUUGGCAGUUAGUUGUGGUCACGUGACUAAAUCCUAGUAAGAUGAAACCAAAGUGGAAUGUGGUGGCUACCAAAGCCUUUCUUGUCAACCCUUUGUUUUUUUCUUUCUUUCUUUCUUUUUUUUUUUUUUUAGAGACUGGAUCAGAAAGGUUACUCAGAGACCAUGAUAAAGUAAGACUAAAUAAGGCCACUUCAGAAUUUUGCCUAACCACAGAAAAAUACAAGGGCAUCGUGCCGUACAAAGUACCCAAACAUCCUAUCUCCACUAAAAUGAGUGACUGCUGACUUCUUUACCAAUGACAGCUUUAUCCUUACUCUUGUCUGCCCUCCCUAUAGAAAAAAUUUGAGGCAGUCAAUGGUAGAGCAGCCAAUAGUAUAACUGAUCCUGCUUUCUGAGAGUAUCCAAUCUCAACAGAACAGUUUCCUUAGACCCUGCCCCAAAUAAUCCUCCUACUGAGUCACCCCAUGCUACAAGUAAUAAAUCUAACCUGUUUACUUUGGUUGGAAAGCAUUGACAAGGUGCCUUGGCUAAACAACUUGAGUUCAUAGAGUGAGGCAAAUCAUUAGGAGGCCUCUGAAGAAAAAUAAUUGAAAUUUGUUUACAAAACAAAAUAUUUUAUAACUGAUGGCAAAUCAAAGGCUACUAAAGGAAACUGAGUCACCAAAGAAUUAGAAAAGACUUCUCUGAAUGGAGGACUGUGCCAGGGAGUUUCAGGAGGCUGUGCACAUUUUCAUUACCUUUAAAAGGGUGUGCAGAAUGAAUCAACACAACUGAAAACACUUUCAGAACUUAAUUCUACAUUCCAUUCUCUUCUGGAACGUCAGGAGCUAGCCCCAUGUUAAUUAUGUUCCCCCAGACUACCCUGAAAUCCAAGAGGGAUGUUAUCUCCACACAAAUCCCCAAAAACCAAAAAUGUUAGAACUAGAACACUACCAUUUUGCAAUCCCUAAUGAAAUAAUAGAUCUGAAAAAUAAUCAUCCAUGGCUGUUAAAGCCAUUAGGCAAAAUGUUAUUUUAAUGCUCUUAGUCUGUAUCAGGUAAGAAAACUAUAAAAUCCACUUAAUGGGUGGCAAAAACUUCUUGCUGUUUCCCAGUAUCCACCCAUACUUUUUUUUUUUCUCGAGACUGGGUCUCACUCUGUUGCCCAGGUUGAAGUGCAGUGGUGAUCAUUGCUCACUGCAGCCUCGACCUCCUGGGCUCAAGCGAUCAUCCCGCCUUUGGCUUCCCAAAGUGCUGGGAUUAUAGGAAUGAGCCAUUGUGCCCAGGCCCAUCCAUACUCUCUACACAGUUUAGCUGGUAUCCAAUGCCCAUAAUACAUGCCACUUUCCUAGCCUUCUUGGCAGUUAGUUGUGGUCACGUGACUAAAUUCUAGUAAGAUGAAACCAAAAUGGAAUGUGGUGGCUACUAGAGCCUUUCUUGUCAACUCUUUUUGUUUCUUCCUUAUUUUUUUUUAAGAGACUGGAUCUCGCUACAUUGCCCAGGCUGGACAUGAACUC